GGAUAACACUGACGCUCAUGUACGAAAGCGUGGGUAGCAAACAGGAUUAGAUACCCUGGUAGUCCACGCCCUAAACGAUGUCAACUGGUUGUUGGGGGAGUGAAAUCCCUUAGUAACGAAGCUAACGCGUGAAGUUGACCGCCUGGGGAGUACGGUCGCAAGAUUAAAACUCAAAGGAAUUGACGGGGACCCGCACAAGCGGUGGAUGAUGUGGAUUAAUUCGAUGCAACGCGAAAAACCUUACCUACCCUUGACAUGUCCGGAAUCCUGAAGAGAUUUGGGAGUGCUCGAAAGAGAACCGGAACACAGGUGCUGCAUGGCUGUCGUCAGCUCGUGUCGUGAGAUGUUGGGUUAAGUCCCGCAACGAGCGCAACCCUUAUCAUUAGUUGCUACGCAAGGGCACUCUAAUGAGACUGCCGGUGACAAACCGGAGGAAGGUGGGGAUGACGUCAAGUCCUCAUGGCCCUUAUGGGUAGGGCUUCACACGUCAUACAAUGGUCGGUACAGAGGGUUGCCAAGCCGCGAGGUGGAGCCAAUCCCAGAAAGCCGAUCGUAGUCCGGAUUGUUCUCUGCAACUCGAGAGCAUGAAGUCGGAAUCGCUAGUAAUCGCGGAUCAGCAUGUCGCAGUGAAUACGUUCCCGGGUCUUGUACACACCGCCCGUCACACCAUGGAGUGGAAUCUGGCAGAAGUAGGUAGCCUAACCGCAAGGAGGGCGCUUACCACGCUGGGUUUCAUGACUGGGGUGAAGUCGUAACAAGGUAACCGUA
rnacentral:rRNA from 1 species